CGCCUACGGGACGCAGCAGUGAGGAAUAUUGGUCAAUGGGCGAGAGCCUGAACCAGCCAAGUCGCGUGAGGGAAGACGGUCCUAUGGAUUGUAAACCUCUUUUGUCGGGGAGCAAAAAGGCCUCGCGAGGCCACAAGUGAGAGUACCCGAAGAAAAAGCAUCGGCUAACUCCGUGCCAGCAGCCGCGGUAAUACGGAGGAUGCGAGCGUUAUCCGGAUUUAUUGGGUUUAAAGGGUGCGCAGGCGGCGAGGUAAGUCAGCGGUAAAAUUUCGGGGCUCAACCCCGACGAGCCGUUGAAGCUGGCU
rnacentral:rRNA from 1 species